rnacentral:rRNA from 1 species
AUACGGAGGGUGCGAGCGUUAAUCGGAAUUACUGGGCGUAAAGCGUACGUAGGCGGUUUGCUAAGUCAGAUGUGAAAGCCCCGGGCUUAACCUGGGAACUGCAUUUGAUACUGGCAGACUAGAGUAUGAUAGAGGGGGGUAGAAUUCCUGGUGUAGCGGUGAGAUGCGUAGAUAUCAGGAGGAAUACCAGUGGCGAAGGCGGCCCCCUGGAUCAAUACUGACGCUGAGGUACGAAAGCGUGGGGAGCGAACAGGAUUAGAUACCCUAGUAGUCC